rnacentral:rRNA from 1 species
GAAACCGGUGCUAGUACCGAAUAUUGAAACAUAAGUGGCAUCACUGAGUUUUGAAAGAAUUUCGGUGGAGGAUGACUUCGCGGCCUAUCAGCUAGUUGGUGAGGUAAUGGCUCACCAAGGCAACGACGGGUAGCCGGCCUGAGAGGGCGACCGGCCACACUGGGACUGAGACACGG